GGAGAGCUGGCCGAGUUGGUCGAAGGCGCUUGAUUCGAAAUCAAGUGUACCCGCAAGGGUACCGGGGGUUCGAAUCCCUCGCUCUCCG
rnacentral:tRNA from 1 species